GCCCCUGUAUUCCAACUGGUAGAGAAGAUGGUCUCAAACACCAUUGCCGAAAGGCGUGUGGGUUCGAAUCCCACCGGGGGCACCA
rnacentral:tRNA from 1 species